GGCAUGAGGAGCUACCUGGGUUCUGUUGUAAACUGGUGGGAGCUGAACCUUUACACCUUCCCUUUAUGUCCCAAAUCCUCACCAAAAUGACUCUGGAGGUGGUUUUCAUGGCAUUGGGUGGUUCUGCCUUCCUCUGCAGCCGUGACACGGGCUAGUGGGAGGCCAUGAUCAAAGUUCAUUUCCUUACAAUCUCUUCUGUGCUUGUUCUGUUAGUUCCAGCUCAGUUCCAACCCGGUGAGAAGUUGAGGAGUUGGCCAUGUACCUGGAGGUGUAUUCUGCAAGAGUAGUCAGUGUGUUACUGCCCUUCCUCAUUUUAGGGUGUUUUAAUGGUGGCAAUUUAGAAAUUAGCCAGAGGAAGAGGAGAGAAGGAGGAAGAUUGGUGACUAUUUGCCAGCCUUGCAUUGCCCUCAGCUGCAGUUCACUUGCAGGAGCUGCUCUAGAGCCUCAUGAGGAAUACGCUGAGUAUUUUCUGCAGCGUUGUCUUAACACUAGCACACAAAAAUGCUUCUUUUUCUCCCAGCUGCUUCUGUGAGAGAUUUCUCAUUCAAAAACAAGUAAAUGGCAUUCCCCUGCACUUCCUGCUGGCAUUUAUGAUUUUGAGAAGAACAGAUUGCCCUGUUAUUUCCCAGCAUUUGGGAUCAUUCCCCUUUGCUAGAGAUAGCACAAGUGCUGUGAGCAGGGUGGGACAGAGCUGUGGCUCCCACUGUGUCCUAGUACAAAGCACAGGAGCUGAUAAAAUGAGGAGGGGAGAGGCUGGACUCUCUGAGAGCUUUACAAGCAAUUAAGUAUUUGGAUACUCUCAUUUCAGGGCUAAAACACAGAAAGGAGGUGCCCAGAGCAAAUAUGAAAGGAGCUGUAAGCCAAACACUGUACCCAUACCAGCUUUUAGCUAAAGAGCUUGAUUUAAGUGGGUUUUAGGCUACCUAGCAUUUUAAAAUUGACAACUCUCACCUAUUUCUAAAGCUUUCAUUCUGAAUACAGGGAAAAAAAAAAGAAAAGGAGGCAGCAUAGUGGUGGGAGCUGCUCUGCACAGUAACAUCUGCUUCCAGGUCUGAAGUCAGUGAGAAAAGGAGAAGAUGGGGAGGAAAGCUUCAGUUGUUUUGGAGCCUGAUCUCUGAUUUCCAGGUGUGAUGGCUCUGCCUGAUUAAAGGAAAGGUUGGUUGGGUGUGGAGCAGAGCCCUGGCAUCCCAGCACUUUCUAUGGUGGGAUAAGGGAGCCUUAAAACGAGCUUACUUGUUAAAAACCUGCUUUAACAGCAUCCUCUGAACUGUUCAGAGCGACAAGAAGUUUUGUCAGUGAAAGUCAAAAACCAGGAGCUUACUUAUUGUCUUAUUUGAACGUAGGAAAUAAAGUAGGAAAUAAAAUGGGGGUGAAGUAGGUUUUAUCUUAGCACCUCAGUUUCAGUGGUGCUACAGAGAGGAGUUUUGAGGUUACACUCCAUAAAGCUCUGGUAGAAAAAAAAAGAAAAUUUUCUUCAUAAAACUUUUUUUGAGUCUUUGUCAGCUGAGUGAAACUUCUGUCUUUAGCCCAGAUUAGUGUCUGGGCUGUAGGGCACAUUUUUGCUACUUACCUUUGAGUGUUAAUGUUGGCUUUUGAGAAAGAUGAUAUUUUUGCCAAAAAUGGAUCAGUAUAAAGUAUUUAAAGCUUUUUAUUCUUUCCCCUGGUACCUUAUUGUAGCUGCUAAACAUUUGCCCACCUGACUGAGCCACCCAGGAGCAGGCACCAGCAUUUCCACAGGCACUGCUCCUGGUGCAGGAUGUUUCAUCCCAGUUUUAGCAGCUGUUUCACACGUGGGUCUCCAUGUUGGGAAUUGGUGUUCAGGAAGUAAUAGUUGGUGGUUUAUGCUUCUGGAGAGGCCCCGAGGCUGCUGUGGUGGCUUUUUGUGUCUCUCUUUACAUGGUUUGUUCUGUUCUCUCCCACUUUCCUGGCUCACUGCAACGAUGUGGAUUUUAAUCUCCAGCAAUUGCAGCAUUGGCUGAACCUGGAGAACUGCACGAGGUCAUGGCUGAGAACACUUGCUUAAAGUUUAAGGUUUUAGCUCUGACUGAUGUUACUCAGACUAACCUGUCAUCCAGUGAUAAGCUGUGACAUGCAGUGAUGCUGGAGCUGAGUGUCCCAGUGGGUGAGCUCUGCUCGUGCCUCCCAGGUUUGAGUGUCAGUUCUCAAACUCUUUCAGAUGAGCCAAAGCACUUUCUUAAGUUUUUCCCUCUUUUCUCCCUUAGUCACUGGUGUCUUCUCUUGUUUCUUAAUGCAUUGGCUCAACAUCUAUUAGCAAGUGAAAAGCAGUUGGUAUUGAUUCAUUGCUGGAAGAUCUAAGUGCAGGGCAGGGCAAAUGCAGCCUGUGGCACAUCUGUGGGUCUGCCUGGAGGGAAAACACCUCUUUAGUGUCUUUGAGACUUUGCCUUUAUUCAAGUGAGACUAGAGUGUGGUUGUGAUUGAUUCCUAGGUAACUGUGGAACUCCAUCUUGUGCUGCCUCUAGAACUUCUCCAGAGGAGCAGGUUGCAGUGUGGCAGUGGGCUGCUCUCCUUUGGAUUUGGCCAUGGUGCAGGCACUGGCACAAUCUCCCUGGCACCAGCAGAUCUUUCUCUUCAUGUGUAGUAGUUCAGGAGUCCACAGUUGCCAGAGUUACCCUCUCCACUACUUAAUUCCUUCAAGCUUUUGGACACCAUAUUGAGAGAUACAUGUGUACAUAUGCUGAGACAGAGACUUGUUACACCCUACUACAAGUACAGCUUUAAACUUCCAAAGUAAUAAACUAUUUAAAGCCAAGAGCCUUAGCAACUCCCAACAUCUGCCAAGAGACAAAAGAGUUUCAAGUUUGUGCUGAAUAUUUGGGCACUUUUAUGCUCGGUGGUGGGUGUCUCCUUUUAGCAAGGAGGCAGCAACAGUAUCCAAAGAUGACAAGGACCUUGGCCACCUUCAUGAAUCACCCCAGAACAGGUAGACAGGCUCCCUCCUUGUGCUCUCAGGAAAAGUCACCUCACUCUCCCAGGGCUGGUGUGAUGGCUUUAUGUGUUGCAUUGGUUGGAAAAGCUCCCUCUUUUUGUGGAACAGUGUUUGUAAUUUAGCAAAAAUGAUGUCUUUGCUGGCAGAGGGGAUGGAUUCCUCUUUUUCCACCCCCAGAGUCCUGUAGCAUUGAGAUGGAGAAGGAGGGAUGUAGAUGAUGGGAAAGGUGGGUGAGUUGGGAAGGAGCUGGACCUGGUGAAGGGCUGGAGCCAUAGAGCCACUGUGUUGGUCCUGCAUCUGUGCCCAAGCUGCUGGGGAGGUUUGGGAAGGUUUGAGGAGCUUUGGGGUGUUUUGCUCUGGGGUAGCCUGAUGGCUGCUGGGUGCCUUUGUAAAUCUGUCUUCCCUCCCAGCCUCCUGGUUUUGUUUUAGGGUUUGAUGUGAGCAUCAGUGGGUUAUUCAACCCAUCUCCUGGAGCUGGAGGGGGUCUUUCCCUCCUAGGACACAUGCCAGGGCUGCUCCUCAGGGACUGCAGCACCGGGGUACAAACAGCCACUCAGAAACUGUGUUCAAAUCGAGAGGCUCAAACCCAGGCUUGCUUUGGUUCACCCAGGAGCCACGCAGGCUCUGCCCAUCCCCUGCUCACUUUAAAAUCUAUCCCUGGCUUCAGCACUGCCUGGCCUUUCAUAAGCACACAGGGAGAUUGUACAGAAAGCAGUAAUUGACCUUUAUGGAAUUAUUAAUUGAAACCCUAAUUGACAACGGUUUCGAAAGGAAAAGAAAAAAGAGAGGGGGUGAAAAAAGGCAAAUUAAAACACUUUUAAGGUCUCCAGGUUAGCUGGAAAUUGUUUCUUCAUGAUAUCUCUGGUUUCUUUCUCUUUCCCCCAGUGAAGCCCCUGUUCCUGCUCCCUGCUGCCCUCCCUCCUUGCAGAGGACUGACCUGUUUACAGCCAGCCUGGGGGAAGCCGGGGGCUCGGCUGGGGCACGGGGCUUCCUCACAGCAGCUUCACUGUAAAUAUUCUGCCUGUGCUUCGUUGAGAAAACUGAAAUGGAAAAAAGUUGUAUCUGUGAAAUAUGAAGCUAUAUAUGUAUAUAGAUAAACUGCGAAUUACCUGACUCGUUACUACGCUCUGUAAUCAAUGUAUAUGAAACUGUUUCACUGUAUGGCAGAACAUUUCACGCUAUCUUAGAUGUAGAAAAGCUGCGAAAAGUAACUCACAAUACACUAUGUCAACUUCAAA